rnacentral:rRNA from 1 species
GACGAACGCUGGCGGCGUGCUUAACACAUGCAAGUCGAGCGGUAAGGCCCUUUCGGGGGUACACGAGCGGCGAACGGGUGAGUAACACGUGGGUGACCUGCCCUUAGCUCUGGGAUAAGCCUGGGAAACUGGGUCUAAUACCGGAUAUGACUCCAUAACGCAUGUUGUGGGGUGGAAAGCCUUGUGCGGCUAGGGAUGGGCCCGCGGCCUAUCAGCUUGUUGGUGGGGUGAUUGCCACCAAGGCGACGACGGGUAGCCGGCCUGAGAGGGCGACCGGCCACACUGGGACUGGGACACGGCCCAGACUCCUACGGGAGGCAGCAGUGGGGAAUCUUGCGCAAUGGGCGAAAGCCUGACGCAGCGACGCCGCGU